GAUCCUGGCUUAGGAUGAACGCUGGCGGCGUGCUUAACACAUGCAAGUCGAACGGAGUUUUUAACGGAAGUUUCGGAUGGAAGUUUAGAAACUUAGUGGCGGACGGGUGAGUAACGCGUGGGUAACCUGCCUCAUACAGGGGGAUAACAGUUAGAAAUGACUGCUAACACCGCAUAAUAUAGCGAAACCGCAUGAUUUUGCUAUCAAAUAUUUAUAGGUAUGAGAUGGGCCCGCGUCUGAUUAGCUAGUUGGUGGGGUAAAAGCCUACCAAGGCGACGAUCAGUAGCCGGCUUGAGAGAGUGACCGGCCACAUUGGGACUGAGACACGGCCCAAACUCCUACGGGAGGCAGCAGUGGGGAAUAUUGGACAAUGGGGGAAACCCUGAUCCAGCGAACCGCCGCGUGAGUGAAGAAGUAUUUCGGUAUGUAAAGCUCUAUCAGCAGGGAAGAUAAUGACAGUACCUGACUAAGAAGCCCCGGCUAACUACGUGCCAGCCGCAGC
rnacentral:rRNA from 1 species